rnacentral:rRNA from 1 species
AUUGAACGCUAGCGGGAUGCUUUACACAUGCAAGUCGAACGGAGUGGCGAACGGGUGAGUAAUGUAUCGGAACGUGCCCAGUAGCGGGGGAUAACUACGCGAAAGCGUAGCUAAUACCGCAUACUAUUGGAGCGGCCGAAAUCGGAUUAGCUAGUUGGUGAGGUAACGGCUCCCAAAGGCGACGAUCCGUAGCUGGUUUGAGAGGACGACCAGCCACACUGGGACUGAGACACGGCCCAGACUCCUACGGGAGUCAGCAGUGGGGAAGUUUGGACAAUGGGGGCAACCCUGAGCCAGCCAGCCCGCGUGUGCGAUGAAGGCCUUCGGGUUGUAAAGCACUUUUGGCAGGAAGGCGGUACCUGCAGAAUAAGCACCGGCUAACUACGUGACAGCAGCCGCGGUAAUUC